rnacentral:lncRNA from 1 species
UAGGGACACCUCUUGUUUGACUGUCCUGAUAUGAGCACUUGCUCUGGUACCCUUUACCUAGUAGCAAUAAUUGCUCAUAUUUAGGUGGCACUUUCAAACACCAGCUCUGAUAAUAACAUCUAUAAACUGGAUAUCAUCACUUCUUUUGUAUAGAUGAUAAAAAUGUGACUGGAAGUGUUGGCAUUUGCACCCAUGUCUUCAUAUUACAGGUAUUAGGAUGCUUUGUUGGUGUUUAUUUAAAUUAAUUGCAACUGGCUUUAACUGCCUUGUCUUGAAUUUUUUUUUUUUUUUUUUUAAAGAGACAGGGUCUUGCUCUGCCACCCAGGCUGAGUGCAGUAACAUGAUUAUGACUCACUGCAGCCUCAAUCUCCUGGGAUCAAGUGAUCCUCCUCCCUCAGCCUCCCAGGCAGCUAGGACUCCAGGCAUGCACCAGUGCACCACUACAUCCAGACUCUACUUAUGUUCCAACAUCUUGGUGGGUUUCACUGAUCCUGUUUAGGUCUUAAAUAGAACUGGGAAAGAAGAAGGAACCAUGUGCUAGUCAUUCUGCCUCUUAUGCUACCUCCCUUGUCACAGUUUUUCAUCACCACAGUCCUCUGAACAGGUUGUAUCCUUCCCACUCAUAGAUGUGAAAAUCAGGCUCAGCGAGAUGACGUCCUUGCCAAAGGUCACAGUAUUAGUAACUUUGGCAAAAUUGGUGUCAGAAGCUCAAUCUUCUAGUUUAGUAACUCAUUCCACACCAUGGAUUGUACUUCUUAAACUAUAUAACAACAUGCACUUGGAGAGUUAUAAUUCUUACCUUCUAAUGUAGAAUUUUUGCUAGGAUCCUUUUACUGUAUUAGAAGAGCAUUACAGUUUAUUUCAAACCUGAUGAAUGUUUGAACUUAACUAUUUUUGAUCCAUUAACUCUAGAAACCACCAUCCCAAACUCCAUGGUUUGGAUCUAAUAACAACUUUGGGUUUCAUACAUGGCUUUACAUACACAGACACACACAGACACACACACACACACACACACACACACACACACACAGAGUCUUAAGACUCUGACCUGGAGACAUCGGAAGUAAAAGCCCAGAUUUAAGUCAUUUUUGGUGGUUGGUAAAUCCUCAGGUGUAGAAGCUCAUUACAAGGCUCUGUGUGUGUGUGUGUGUGUGUGUGUGUGUGUAAUCAUUGAUUAGAGAGAAGGUAUCUCUGACUUAACAAAUUAAAUAUGACAAUUAGGCUAUGAAGAGCAUCAACUCACUUGAGGCAAACUGUAGUGUUCUGGGAAUUAAAAAAAGGGAAAACUUACAAGAGAUUAAUCAUCAGCAUUUAUGUAUCAUCCAUCAUAAGCUAAACAAAGAAUUUUGGUUGUAUAAAUCAAUGGGACUUGGCUGAAUUCCUGGCCUAAUUAAUAAGCCA